UCAGAAUUUCAUAGCAGAAUGAUCCACACAGGUCUGCCUGCCCUUGAAAGAAUGCGGAUGGGAACUAUAGGAAAGAGGUGUGAAAAUGGCUCCAGUGUCUGUAAUGUUUGCUCUGAAAGUGUUUGGUGGUUAGUAUAAUCAGUGGGCUUGCAGUUACACUGGGAAACUGUUUCCUCUACUUGUUCUUCCCACUUGCUGACCACGUCUAGUGAUUAGAAAAGGAAAGCAUGAGGCACAACACCAAACUUCUGCUGGAGAAAUUGCACAAACAACCAUACCUGGUGGUUCUGAGUGAAGAGACCCAAUAAGUCAAGAAUGGUGACGCAAACUUCUGUGGCAAU